GUUAAGCAGUAUGUCGCCUGCUGCUGAGUGUGAGUGACGCUGGGGCUUUGCAGUCAGCUAAAUCUAGCCAGCUCUUGUUUCUCCUGGGAGCUGUCAGCCACUCAAUCUGCAGACAUAAAUUCGCUGGCAGAACUCAGGCCAGCUUGGUGCGACGCAGCAGACAGCACCAUGACAAUGUGGAAGUCAUGGAGAGAGCGAAGUCCUGGAUGGUGGCUGUGUCUGCGCUGCGGGAACGUCACAUGUGGCACAUCCAGCACCUUCUAAAUGUCUUAUAUCACACACACUGCCCAUUGUCAAGCUCUGUAGAAAACCAACUGGACCUCUUGAAGCUGUCUGCCUGCUUUAUGUACUGAGUUGUGGCUGUGAUUCUCUUUUUUUGUCAGAGAAGGCUGUUAGCAUAAAUGAACAGGUGGUCACUGAGGGUACAUAAUAUUAAGGAAAAUUGCAGCAAAUUUUGUUGUUAAAGUAUAGGACGCUCCUUUUGGGGUGUCAAGCCAGCAACAUGUUUAUUAAAUGAGUGGAAAUUAUUCAGUUAAUAAAUGGAAAAUAUGUGUUUCCAGUCCAGUUUUAAAAAUAAAUGUCAAAUAAAUACAUAAUUAAAAAUAUCCUCUAUCAGUCUAACAAUAAAAGUGUCUUGAAAAUGCAAAUAAAGUUCUUUUGAAA